rnacentral:lncRNA from 1 species
GGACCUGCAGAUUCCUUCAGCUCCUUGGGUGAAGCUGAUUUCCCAUGACUCAUCUGAUUUUCAGUUUUUAUUGUAUGCCUGCCAAGCAAGACUUGGGCAUAUGACAGUAAAAAGGCAAUCUCCCUACAAGUUCACAGAGGACACAGUUUAUCUGUGCACCAAGCGAUAUGCAGUAUUUGGAGGUCUGGAGAGAUUUCCUGGGGAGUAGGACAGUGCUGUACUCUCACUGCACACAGAAUUGAGAUGCAGAGGGGCACGUAAAGAAAAGCACAGAAGACCUUUCUUGACACAGCAUGACAUCCUGCUGUGGGGAUGAGUUCCUGGUCACCAACAGUGUUGAAGCCACUAGCAAGACUGUGAUGUUGAAGAUAGAGAUACUUGGCUUCUCUAAGUCUUACCAUCCUUGAGAGUCCCUGAGUCCAGGCUGGCUGACCCAGGCUGCAGCUCCCUAACCAGCCCCAUCUCCAUCCUCUUUUCUGCAGCCCAAAGCCCACAGCUACAGUUGCCCUUGUAGUUAGACGUGGUCUUGCUCCCACUUCCUGGGGAAAAACAUACACUAGAAAACUCAUCACAGGAAAAGAAAAGGUCACAGGCCCUCCAGUUCCUGUUGAAGCUGAGAAUGGCAG